rnacentral:rRNA from 1 species
UACAGAGGGUGCUAGCGUUGUUCGGAAUCAUUGGGCGUAAAGGGCGUGUAGGCGGUUUGUUAAGUCAUGUGUGAAAUCCCUCGGCUCAACCGGGGAACGACGCAUGAAACUGGCAAGCUAGAGUACCAAAGAGGGGGGUGGAAUUCCCGGUGUAGCGGUGAAAUGCGUAGAUAUCAGGAGGAAUACCGGUGGCGAAAGCGACUCUCUGGACGGCAACUGACGCUGAGGCACGAAAGCGUGGGGAGCAAACAGG